CCUACGGGAGGCAGCAGUGGGGAAUUUUGGACAAUGGGGGAAACACUGAUCCAGCCAUCCCGCGUGUGCGAUGAAGGCCUUCGGGUUGUAAAGCACUUUUGGCAGGAAAGAAACGUCGCGGGCUAAUACCCCGCGAAACUGACGGUACCUGCAGAAUAAGCACCGGCUAACUACGUGCCAGCAGCCGCGGUAAUACGUAGGGUGCAAGCGUUAAUCGGAAUUACUGGGCGUAAAGCGUGCGCAGGCGGUUCGGAAAGAAAGAUGUGAAAUCCCAGAGCUUAACUUUGGAACUGCAUUCUUAACUACCGGGCUAGAGUGUGUCAGAGGGAGGUGGUAUUCCGCGUGUAGCAGUGAAAUGCGUAGAUAUGCGGAGGAACACCGAUGGCGAAGGCAGCCUCCUGGGAUAACACUGACGCUCAUGCACGAAAGCGUGGGGAGCAAACAGGAUUAGAUACCCUGGUAGUCCACGCCCUAAACGAUGUCAACUAGCUGUUGGGGUCUUCGGACCUUGGUAGCGCAGCUAACGCGUGAAGUUGACCGCCUGGGGAGUACGGUCGCAAGAUUAAAACUUAAAGGAAUUGACGG
rnacentral:rRNA from 1 species